AGAUAAGUUUCAUAACGUCUCAAGUUGAAGUGCCCAAGUUAGCCAUUUCCAGACUAGCUGUCAAACCAAAGGCUUCAAACAAAAAGAAAGAGGGGAAAACUGAAGCCCACCUGUGAAAUGGACCUAAGAACCAGAAAAAACAAGAAGGAAUGAGCAAUAACAAUGGGCCAGAGUAGGUGAAGAGACCAAGUACAACCUACAUCAGAGAAGCCAAAUAAGAAGGGAGAUGGGAGAAUGAGUAACUGCUAGCUGAACCAUCAGAAAAAGCCUCAUAGAAGACACUUGAUCUUGAAAAAAGCAAAG